AUGUUUGGGCAAUACGUAUGUCUUCUGCAGUUCUUUGGAUUAGUCGGCAUAUGUAUGACAUAUAAAUUACAUCCCGUUAUAACGCCUGAUAUACCAUCAAACACGAACCUUACAACGGCUCCAUUUGUUAGGAUCGCUUAUGGAUUUUACUUUUUCGAGGUGAACAAACAGAAAAACUGGUUCGAUGCUUACCAAACGUGUCGUUGCAUGGACGCUGAAUUGAUAUCGAUCGAAACGAUCGACGAAUGAAAUCAGCAACACUCCAAAUCAUUUUACAGAAAUUGAAAGCGUAAUUUUAACAGUUGGAUAACAGCAGAGCCGUUUAUACUUGACGCAGAAGCAGCUUUUUAUUAUGUGCCGCUGAUUGAAAAUGAUUUAUAGCAACUCAAAAUAUCAAAACCAUUAGCAACGUCUCAAGAAAUCUAAAAAGCGAUAAUGGCCAAUGUGUUUGAGAGCUGAGCACAACAGAAAAAAAAAAAAGAAGAAAGAAAAAUGUAUUGAAAAUUAAAAGCAUGUCAAACAAGGAAACCGCAGCAGGAAUUGGUAGGGAAAAAUAAGAAAAGCUAACAGCAAGAUGGUCUCGCCGAUGGCCACGCCCACAAAAGCCACCAAUCUCCCCGCACAGCUUGCAACAUUUUAUAAAGCAAUUUCUCCCGGCAGCAACAUCGAAAUGCAAUGCACGCCUGAAGGACAUACGCGAGCAGCUGCAUGUGUGUGUGUGCGUGUGUGUGUGUAAGGGUCCUGCCAGCAAAAAGAAAAAAAUAAAAAAUCUAUAUACAAUAUGUAUACAAUUUAA